rnacentral:rRNA from 1 species
AUUGAACGCUGGCGGAAUGCUUUACACAUGCAAGUCGAACGGCAGCGCGGACUUCGGUCUGGUGGCGAGUGGCGAACGGGUGAGUAAUGUAUCGGAACGUGCCCAGUCGUGGGGGAUAACGUAGUGAAAAUUACGCUAAUACCGCAUACGAUCUAUGGAUGAAAGCGGGGGAUCGCAAGACCUCGCGCGAUUGGAGCGGCCGAUAUCAGAUUAGGUAGUUGGUGGGGUAAAGGCCCACCAAGCCAACGAUCUGUAGCUGGUCUGAGAGGACGACCAGCCAUACUGGAACUGAGACACGGUCCAGACUCCUACGGGAGGCAGCAGUGGGGAAUUUUGGACAAUGGGCGAAAGCCUGAUCCAGCCAUUCCGCGUGCAGGAUGAAGGCCCUCGGGUUGUAAACUGCUUUUGUACAGAACGAAAAGGUUUCUACUAAUACUAGGAGCUCAUGACGGUACUGUAAGAAUAAGCACCGGCUAACUACGUGCCAGCCGCCGCAGUAA